rnacentral:rRNA from 1 species
UUGAAGUCAGUCGUGCUGGCGCGAAAUCAACCCUCUCGUCGAGAGGACACAUGGCGUGGCGAGCCUCAACCGUCACGAAGCGUGAACUCUUGGCGAAAAGGAGCACUUUCGUGUCCGCUGGUUAACAUCAAUUUCGAACGUCAUAAAAAGGCUGGAGGGAUGUGGCUCCUUCGGGAGUGUUAUAACCUUUAGCGGAAUGUGGUGGUCGGGAUUGAGGAUUGCAACGAAUACCUUUAGGGCUGUUCCACCUGGCCUCUCUUUGGUAUCCUGGUGACGACAGCUUGCUGACGUUGUUAGGAUUCGCCAUUGAACAGGCUAGAGUGUGAGCAAAUUCGUUAAGGAUGUUGACGUA